GGGCCCGCACAAGCAGCGGAGCAUGUGGUUUAAUUCGAAGCAACGCGAAGAACCUUACCCAGACUUGACAUCUCCUGAAUUAAUCGUAAUGGAUGAAAUCCCUUCGGGGACAGGAAGACAGGUGGUGCAUGGUUGUCGUCAGCUCGUGUCGUGAGAUGUUGGGUUAAGUCCCGCAACGAGCGCAACCCUUAUCAUUAGUUGCUAACAUUUAGUUGAGCACUCUAGUGAGACUGCCCGGGUUAACCGGGAGGAAGGUGGGGAUGACGUCAAAUCAUCAUGCCCCUUAUGUCUGGGGCUACACACGUGCUACAAUGGUAGGAACAAAGAGAUGCAAGACCGCAAGGUGGAGCCAAACUUCAAAACCUAUCCCAGUUCGGAUUGUAGGCUGAAACUCGCCUACAUGAAGCUGGAGUUGCUAGUAAUCGCGAAUCAGAAUGUCGCGGUGAAUACGUUCCCGGGCCUUGUACACACCGCCCGUCACACCAUGAGAGCUGGUAACACCCGAAGUCCGUGAGGUAACCUUUAUGGAGCCAGCGGCCGAAGGUGGGAUUAGUGAUUGGGGUGAAGUCGUAACAAGGUAGCCGUAGGAGAACCUGCGGCUGGAUCAC
rnacentral:rRNA from 1 species